AACAGACGAGGAGCUUGCUCCUCUGACGUUAGCGGCGGACGGGUGAGUAACACGUGGAUAACCUACCUAUAAGACUGGGAUAACUUCGGGAAACCGGAGCUAAUACCGGAUAAUAUAUUGAACCGCAUGGUUCAAUAGUGAAAGACGGUUUUGCUGUCACUUAUAGAUGGAUCCGCGCCGCAUUAGCUAGUUGGUAAGGUAACGGCUUACCAAGGCAACGAUGCGUAGCCGACCUGAGAGGGUGAUCGGCCACACUGGAACUGAGACACGGUCCAGACUCCUACGGGAGGCAGCAGUAGGGAAUCUUCCGCAAUGGGCGAAAGCCUGACGGAGCAACGCCGCGUGAGUGAUGAAGGUCUUCGGAUCGUAAAACUCUGUUAUUAGGGAAGAACAAAUGUGUAAGUAACUAUGCACGUCUUGACGGUACCUAAUCAGAAAGCCACGGCUAACUACGUGCCAGCAGCCGCGGUAAUACGUAGGUGGCAAGCGUUAUCCGGAAUUAUUGGGCGUAAAGCGCGCGUAGGCGGUUUUUUAAGUCUGAUGUGAAAGCCCACGGCUCAACCGUGGAGGGUCAUUGGAAACUGGAAAACUUGAGUGCAGAAGGGGAAAGUGGAAUUCCAUGUGUAGCGGUGAAAUGCGCAGAGAUAUGGAGGAACACCAGUGGCGAAGGCGACUUUCU
rnacentral:rRNA from 1 species